CCAACGAGAUCGGGAUAACACUGGAAACAGAUGCUAAUACCGGAUAACAACAGAUGAUGCCUAUCAACUGUUUAAAAGAUGGUUCUGCUAUCACUCUUGGAUGGACCUGCGGUGCAUUAGCUAGUUGGUAGGGUAACGGCCUACCAAGGCGAUGAUGCAUAGCCGAGUUGAGAGACUGAUCGGCCACAUUGGGACUGAGACACGGCCCAAACUCCUACGGGAGGCAGCAGA
rnacentral:rRNA from 1 species